UCCAUGGUGCAUGGUGAACCUUAUCCUGGCUGCUGGGUACCCUUGGCGUUCCUGUGCUCACUGCUUUAUCUGUUGUGUACAUUGCAGAGCCUUUCUGUACCUUGGCCAGAAUAACUUUGCAGAAGCUCACAAGUUCUUCACAGAGAUUUUGAGGAUGGACCCGACAAAUGCAGUGGUAAGACAUGCAGACUGGGUACCCACAGGCCCCUCUACCUUUUGCAGACCAGUAAACCCAGAUUCCUGCUCUGGCCUGGCCUGGCCUGGUCUGCAGCAGCUAAAGAGGUCUGCAAAGGGUCUGGUGAAACAUGGGGACCAGGGACAGAGAGCAGGCAGGCUUGUGUCUGUGGCACCCUGAGCCCAUGUCCUUUGCUCCAGGCCAACAACAAUGCUGCUGUGUGUCUGCUUUACCUGGGGAAGCUCAAGGACUCCCUGCGGCAGCUGGAGGCCAUGGUGCAGCAGGACCCCAGGCACUACCUGCACGAGAGCGUGCUCUUCAACCUGACCACCAUGUAUGAGCUGGAGUCCUCAAGGAGCAUGCAGAAGAAGCAGAGCCUACUUGAGGCCGUUGCCAGCAAAGAAGGGGACAGCUUCAACACGCAGUGCCUGAAGCUGGCCUAGUUCCCUCCAGGUCU
rnacentral:lncRNA from 1 species